rnacentral:rRNA from 1 species
UACGUAGGGCGCGAGCGUUGUCCGGAAUUAUUGGGCGUAAAGAGCUCGUAGGCGGUGUGUCGCGUCGGCCGUGAAAACUUGGGGCUUAACUCUGAGCGUGCGGUCGAUACGGGCAUCACUUGAGUUCGGCAGGGGAGACUGGAAUUCCUGGUGUAGCGGUGAAAUGCGCAGAUAUCAGGAGGAACACCGAUGGCGAAGGCAGCUCACUGGGACGGUACUGACGCUGAGGCGCGAAAGCGUGGGGAGCAAACAGG